UAGGCGUGUGUGCAUGCAGCUUACAUAAGUGGCAGUGCUCUCAGGAGGGGAGCACACAGUACAGACCAGGUUUCCCACUUUCCCCAGGCAGUGUCCCGUGCAGCCCCGUGUCUGAAGAGGGUGUCACCGAUGCCCCCUGCCUCCACGGAGCCCCGCUCUUUCCCUCGGUCUGGAAGACAGCGAGCAGGACCUUGGUACUUCCUAGGGUAGGCAGUGCGUGGGUCCACAGCCCUGUGGUUCCGAUUCAAACCAUGCAGCCCGAGAGACUCCGGUGUUUCUGGGGGCACUUUUCCACCUUCUCAGCCCCGUUUUCUUGCUGGAGUGAGAGGGCUGCAGGAAGCUUUCCCAGCAGCAGGAGCAGCAGCCAGAGCAGACACGGCAGCAGCCACGGCAGCAGCACUGGCACCCUUCAAAUUGGGACUCUAGCCCUUUAAAUCUGCUCAGUUACCAAAAAAGAAGAGGCAUCAGACCCUGUUAAUUAAAGCUCGCCCCGGUCCAUCAUUCUGAGGAGCUGCAGUGCCCUGCUCCUUCCUGAUGGCUUAGAGAUUCUCCUUAACUCCCAGCCAUGGAUCUUGGAGAAUUUCCCCCGAGAUCAGCAGGAGAAGAGAAGAGGCUCUGAAACGGGAUAACCGCUCUGAAUGGAAAGAGGAGCUUCAACUGCUACUCUGAUAAACUUUUAUUUCUUUCGGCAUUCAUCAAACAACUGCUGCAUACCAGGAGUAAAGAACAUGGAAACAAAAGACAGAUUUUACCCUACUUGAAAGAAUAUUUAUUUACACCUUGUCUACUUCCAUAAAGCAUUUUGGAUAGCAUUUUUUGACAUGUAUAUAUAAUGAAAUAAAAAAUAUAUGAUCAUAAACUAAACAUAAAAAAUUUUGUACCAAAAAAUUUGUAUUUGUAUUCUAAAAUACAAUUUAGAACAGAGGAGCAAGAUCAGUACAAAAAACAGAAUGCAGAAAUAAAGGUCAUAAGAUUCUAUGGUAUUAUUAUUAUUGUUUGUUUUUGAGACAGAGUCUCGCUCUGUUGCUGAGGCUGGAGUGCAGUGGUGCGAUCUCAGCUCACUGCAACCUCUGCCUCCUGGGUUCAAGCAAUUCUCCUGUUUCAGCCUCCGGAGUAGCUGGGAUUACAGGCAUAAGCCACCACA
rnacentral:lncRNA from 1 species